UACGUAGGGGGCGAGCGUUGUCCGGAAUUACUGGGCGUAAAGAGCUCGUAGGUGGUUUGUCGCGUUGUUCGUGAAAUCUCACGGCUUAACUGUGAGCGUGCGGGCGAUACGGGCAGACUUGAGUACUGCAGGGGAGACUGGAAUUCCCGGUGUAGCGGUGAAAUGUGUAGAGAUCGGGAGGAACACCGGUGGCGAAGGCGGGUCUCUGGGCAAUUCCUGACGCUGAGGCGCGAAAGCGUGGGGAGCAAACAGG
rnacentral:rRNA from 1 species